rnacentral:rRNA from 1 species
AUAGGGGAGCCGUAGGGAAACCGAGUCUUAACUGGGCGAAUGAGUUGCAGGGUAUAGACCCGAAACCCGGUGAUCUAUCCAUGGGCAGGUUGAAGGUUGGGUAACACUAACUGGAGGACCGAACCGACUAAUGUUGAAAAAUUAGCGGAUGACUUGUGGAUGGGGGUGAAAGGCCAAUCAAACCGGGAGAUAGCUGGUUCUCCCCGAAAGCUAUUUAGGUAGCGCCUCGUGAACUCAUCUUCGGGGGUAGAGCACUGUUUCGACUAGGGGGUCAUCCCGACUUACCAACUCGAUGCAAACUGCGAAUACCGAAGAAUGUUAUCACGGGAGACACACGGCGGGUGCUAACGUCCGUCGUGAAGAGGGAAACAACCCAGACCGCCAGCUAAGGUCCCAAAGUCAUGGUUAAGUGGGAAACGAAGUGGGAAGGCUCAGACAGCCAGGAUGUUGGCUUAGAAGCAGCCAUCAUUUAAAGAAAGCGUAAUAGCUCACUGGUCGAGUCGGCCCGCGCGGAAGAUGUAACGGGGCUAAACCAUGCACCGAAGCUGCGGCAGCGACACAAAGUGUUGUUGGGUAGGGGAGCGUUCUGUAAGCCUGCGAAGGUGUACUGUGAGGUAUGCUGGAGGUAUCAGAAGUGCGAAUGCUGACAUAAGUAACGAUAAUGCGGGUGAAAAACCCGCACGCCGGAAGACCAAGGGUUCCUGUCCAACGUUAAUCGGGGCAGGGUGAGUCGACCCCUAAGGCGAGGCUGAAAAGCGUAGUCGAUGGGAAACGGGUUAAUAUUCCCGUACUGGUGGUAACUGCGAUGGGGGAACGGAGAAGGCUAGGUUGUCCGGGCGACGGUCGUCCCGGUUCAAGCAGGUAGGCAGAGUGAUUAGGCAAAUCCGGUCACUUAAUGCUGAGAUGUGAUGACGAACCACCAAGGUGGUGAAGCAAUUGAUGCCCCGCUUCCAGGAAAAGCCUCUAAGCUUCAGGUUACCAACAAUCGUACCCCAAACCGACACAGGUGGUCAGGUAGAGAAUACUCAGGCGCUUGAGAGAACUCGGGUGAAGGAACUAGGCAAAAUGGUGCCGUAACUUCGGGAGAAGGCACGCUGGCGGUAGGUAAAGUCCCUUGCGGACGGCGCUGAAGCCAGUCGAAGAUACCAGCUGGCUGCAACUGUUUAUUAAAAACACAGCACUGUGCAAACACGAAAGUGGACGUAUACGGUGUGACGCCUGCCCGGUGCUGGAAGGUUAAUUGAUGGGGUUAGCGCAAGCGAAGCUCCUGAUCGAAGCCCCAGUAAACGGCGGCCGUAACUAUAACGGUCCUAAGGUAGCGAAAUUCCUUGUCGGGUAAGUUCCGACCUGCACGAAUGGCGUAAUGAUGGCCAGGCUGUCUCCACCCGAGACUCAGUGAAAUUGAACUCGCUGUGAAGAUGCAGUGUACCCGCGGCAAGACGGAAAGACCCCGUGAACCUUUACUAUAGCUUGACACUGAACAUUGAGCCUUGAUGUGUAGGAUAGGUGGGAGGCUUUGAAGUGUGGACGCCAGUCUGCAUGGAGCCAACCUUGAAAUACCACCCUUUAACGUUUGAUGUUCUAACCUAGGCCCAUAAACUGGGUCGGGGACCGUGUCUGGUGGGUAGUUUGACUGGGGCGGUCUCCUCCUAAAGAGUAACGGAGGAGCACGAAGGUUGGCUAAGCAUGGUCGGACAUCAUGCGGUUAGUGCAAAGGCAUAAGCCAGCUUGACUGCGAGAGUGACGGCUCGAGCAGGUACGAAAGUAGGUCUUAGUGAUCCGGUGGUUCUGAAUGGAAGGGCCAUCGCUCAACGGAUAAAAGGUACUCCGGGGAUAACAGGCUGAUACCGCCCAAGAGUUCAUAUCGACGGCGGUGUUUGGCACCUCGAUGUCGGCUCAUCACAUCCUGGGGCUGAAGUAGGUCCCAAGGGUAUGGCUGUUCGCCAUUUAAAGUGGUACGCGAGCUGGGUUUAGAACGUCGUGAGACAGUUCGGUCCCUAUCUGCCGUGGGCGUUGGAAGAUUGAGAGGGGUUGCUCCUAGUACGAGAGGACCGGAGUGAACGCACCACUGGUGUUCGGGUUGUCAUGCCAAUGGCAUUGCCCGGUAGCUAAGUGCGGAAGAGAUAACCGCUGAAAGCAUCUAAGCGGGAAACUUGCCUCGAGAUGAGUCUUCCCUGUCGCUUUAAGCGACCUAAAGGAACGUUUAAGACUAAGACGUUGAUAGGCUGGGUGUGUAAGCGUAGCGAUACGUUGAGCUAACCAGU